UACGUAGGGGGCAAGCGUUGUCCGGAAUCAUUGGGCGUAAAGAGCGUGUAGGCGGCCCGGUAAGUCCGCUGUGAAAGUCAGGGCUCAACCCUGGAUGCCGGUGGAUACUGUCGGAGCUAGUGCCGGAAGAGGCGAGUGGAAUUCCUGGUGUAGCGGUGAAAUGCGCAGAUAUCAGGAGGAAUACCGGUGGCGAAGGCGGCAUCCUGGACCGACAUUGACGCUGAUGAGCGAAAGCUAGGGGAGCAAACGGG
rnacentral:rRNA from 1 species